rnacentral:rRNA from 1 species
AGGAUGAACGCUGGCGGUCUGCUUAACACAUGCAAGUCGAACGGAGUACCUCGGUACUUAGUGGCGGACGGGUGAGUAACGCGUGAGAAUCUGCCCUUAGGUCGGGGACAACCAUUGGAAACGAUGGCUAAUACCGGAUAAGCCGAGAGGUAAAAGAUUAAUUGCCUAGGGAAGAGCUCGCGUCUGAUUAGCUAGUUGGUGAGGUAAAGGCUCACCAAGGCAUCGAUCAGUAGCUGGUCUGAGAGGAUGAUCAGCCACACUGGGACUGAGACACGGCCCAGACUCCUACGGGAGGCAGCAGUGGGGAAUUUUCCGCAAUGGGCGAAAGCCUGACGGAGCAAGACCGCGUGAGGGAGGAAGGCUCUUGGGUUGUAAACCUCUUUUCUGGGGAAGAACAAAAUGACGGUACCCAAGGAAUCAGCAUCGGCUAACUCCGUGCCAGCAGCCGC